CCGUUUCUACAAAAAACAAAAAGACAUGAUUAUGCCUUUUAAUCAAAUCUUGAUAUAGAAAUGUCGAAAUGAAUCGUGCUAUCAUAUCAGAAAUUUUUCGAAAUGGGCAGUGGCAAUUCCAGAGAAGUAUCCAAACAGCCUGGUAAAAGUGUUGUAACCCAAGAUACAUACAUUGAUGAAUAUGACGAUAAUUGGUUUGAAAACCAACCCAGCAAAGCUAAUAAAACUAGUAAGACAACAUCAAACGGACAUAUAAUUCACAAAACUGAAACUAACAAUAACGUAGAGGAAAACCAACUGAAGAAUGGAAAUGUUCCUAAAUACCAGAAAGAACGUACCUCUGACAAUAGUAAACACGUUAUUGUUAUUUCAAGCAACAAAACUGCUAAUACUGUUCAUAGAUCAAAAGUUGUAUCACCAAGUACUGUCAUGAAUAUGGUGGAUUUAGAGGAAUAUGACUAAAAAUUAGUUAAUUUACGAUGGAUUCGAUAGCAAUAGUUUUUGUGGAACACCUUGGCCUGGACUCAAUCUUUUGUGACACGCCAUAAUCUACUCUUAGGGUUUGGAUUAUUCCAGGUGACGAUGAAACCAAAUUUGGAAUCAAUUGUUCGGUGUGUUUAUAUACUGAGAAUCCUUUUCACCGCAACCAUUAUUCGAUGUUAUGGGACCAAAUAUCUAAAACUCUAUUCAUUACUUGUGUUCGCUUGUACAUAGCCGGAAGAAGGAGAAUUGUAUAGUGAAAUAUACUUGUCGGUAAAGUUGUGCAUAUUUGUCUUCUGUGACCAGUAUACAAAAGGUACUCGUUUAGAGGUUUACUAUGCAAUACAAACAUUCGCAUACAACUAAGCCAUUUGCAUUUCUUGUAUUUUUAAGUUUAAGAUAAUAAAAAAAAUAAAACUGAAAACCUC